rnacentral:lncRNA from 1 species
AAAGCCAGUUGAAAGUUAUGGACCAGCAGAGCUUUAACAAAUUUAUACAAGCUUUUUCUAGGGACACCGGUGCUAUGCAAUUUCUGGAAAAUUAUGAAAAAGAAGACAUAACAGUAGCAGAACUGGAAGGAAACUCAAAUUCUUUGUGGACCAUCAGCCCACCCAGUAAGCAGAAAAUGAUACACGAACUCCUGGACCCCAAUAGUAGCUUCUCUGUUGUUUUUUCAUGGAGUAUUCAGAGAAACUUAAGUCUGGGUGCAAAAUCGGAAAUAGCAACAGAUAAGCUUUCUUUUCCUCUUAAAAAUAUUACUCGAAAGAAUAUCGCUAAAAUGAUAGCAGGCAACAGCACAGAAAGUUCAAAAACACCAGUGUAAGUGUAUUUUUUCCUACUAAUAGAGCUUUGUUAGGUAUAUGCAGCUGGUACAAAAUGUCCAUCUACAGAUUCAUGUGUAUGAGGAAUGCAACUUCAUUCUUUGGUAACACAAAGUUAAUUUCUAUUUGGAGGCCCCAUUUUGCAAGAUUAAAGAAACUUAAUCUCAGCUAUGGAGUUUUCUGUCCACUGUCCCCAGGGUUAUGUCUAUGUUCCAAAUGAGGGUUUGG